rnacentral:rRNA from 1 species
UUGAUCCUGGCUCCGGAUGAACGCUAGCGGCAGGCUUAUACAUGCAAGUCGAACGGUAAUCCCGCCUUCAGGCGGGAUCGAGUGGCGCACGGGUGCGUAACACGUAUGCAACCUACCCUUAACUGGGGAAUAACCCUGUGAAAGCGGGGCUAAUACCCCAUAACAUUAUGGUAAGGCAUCUUACUAUUAUCAAAGAUUAAUCGGUUAGGGAUGGGCAUGCGCCCCAUUAGUUAGUUGGUUAGGUAACGGCUAACCAAGACUGUGAUGGGUAGGGGUUCUGAGAGGAUUAUCCCCCACACUGGUACUGAGACACGGACCAGACUCCUACGGGAGGCAGCAGUAAGGAAUAUUGGGCAAUGGACGCAAGUCUGACCCAGCCAUGCCGCGUGCAGGAUGACGGCCUUAUGGGUUGUAAACUGCUUUUGUAUGGGAUUAAAGUGUUGUACGUGUACGACAUUGCAAGUACCAUACGAAUAAGCAUCGGCUAACUCCGUGCCAGCAGCCGCGGUAAUACGGAGGAUGCAAGCGUUAUCCGGAAUCAUUGGGUUUAAAGGGUGCGUAGGUUGAUUAUUAAGUCAGUGGUGAAAAUUCCGGGCUCAACCCGGGACUUGCCGUUGAAACUGAUAAUCUUGACUGUAACUGAUGUGGGCGGAAUGUGUCACGUAGCGGUGAAAUGCAUAGAUAUGACACAGAACACCGAUAGCGAAGGCAGCUCACAAAAUUACAACUGACACUUGAGGCACGAAAGCGUGGGUAUCAAA